CAGCCGCCGCGGUAAUACGAAGGGGGCUAGCGUUGUUCGGAUUUACUGGGCGUAGAGCGCACGUAGGCGGAUUGGUCAGUUAGGGGUGAAAUCCUGGAGCUCAACUCCAGAACUGCCUUUAAUACUGCCAGUCUCGAGUCCGGAAGAGGUAAGUGGAACUCCUAGUGUAGAGGUGGAAUUCGUAGAUAUUAGGAUGAACACCAGUGGCGAAGGCGGCUUACUGGUCCGGUACUGACGCUGAGGUGCGAAAGCGUGGGAGCAAACAGGAUUAGAUACCCGUGUAGUCCCUGUCUCUUAUACA
rnacentral:rRNA from 1 species